rnacentral:rRNA from 1 species
GAUGAACGCUGGCGGCGUGCCUAAUACAUGCAAGUCGAGCGAACGGACGAGAAGCUUGCUUCUCUGAUGUUAGCGGCGGACGGGUGAGUAACACGUGGAUAACCUACCCAUAAGACUGGGAUAACUUCGGGAAACCGGAGCUAAUACCGGAUGAUAUUUUGAACCGCAUGGUUCAAAAGUGAAAGACGGUCUUGCUGUCACUUAUAGAUGGAUCCGCGCUGCAUUAGCUAGUUGGUAAGGUAACGGCUUACCAAGGCAACGAUGCAUAGCCGACCUGAGAGGUGAAUCGGCAACCUGGAAACUGGAGCACGGCCCAACCCCCAGAGGGAGGGAGCGAAAGGAAUCUUGCACAAAGGGGGGAAAGCCAGACGGAGCAACGCCGCGGGAGUAAGAAAGUGUUGGGGUGUGAAAAACCCUUUUAUAAGGGAAAAAAAAAGUUUGAAGUAACGGUGCCAUUUUGGGCGGAACAGAAAAAAAAAGCCGCGGUUAAUUAGUG